rnacentral:rRNA from 1 species
CCAAUAGCGUAUAUUAAAGUUGUUGCAGUUAAAAAGCUCGUAGUUGAAUUUCGGGAUUGACACAUCGGUCGUGCCUUAAGGGGUAUGAACUGGUGUAGUCAAUUUCUCACCUUCUGGAGAACCGCGAUGCCCUUAAUUGGGUGUCACGGGGAACCAGGACUUUUACUUUGAAAAAAUUAGAGUGUUUAAAGCAGGCAUUUUGCUUGAAUACAUUAGCAUGGAAUAAUAAAAUAGGACGGCAUGAUUCUAUUUUGUUGGUUUCUAGGAUCACCGUAAUGAUUAAUAGGGAUAGUUGGGGGCAUUAGUAUUCAAUUGUCAGAGGUGAGAUUCUUGGAUUUAUUGAAGACUAACUACUGCGAAAGCAUUUGCCAAGGAUGUUUUCAUUAAUCAAGAACGAAAGUUAGGGGAUCGAAGACGAUCAGAUACCGUCGUAGUCUUAACCAUAAACUAUGCCGACUAGGAAUCAGACGAUGUUAAUUUUUUAAUGACUCGUUUGGCACCUUACG